UGGAAUGAUGAUUUCACAGACUAGAGUCUCUGAUGCUGGUUCUGAUGCCAAAUGCAAGUUCUGACCC
ensembl:snoRNA small nucleolar RNA, C/D box 52